AUUGAACGCUGGCGGCAUGCCUUACACAUGCAAGUCGAACGGCAGCACGGACUUCGGUCUGGUGGCGAGUGGCGAACGGGUGAGUAAUGUAUCGGAACGUACCUUUCAGUGGGGGAUAACGUAGCGAAAGUUACGCUAAUACCGCAUAUUCUGUGAGCAGGAAAGCAGGGGAUCGAAAGGCCUUGCGCUGAUUGAGCGGCCGAUAUCAGAUUAGCUAGUUGGUGGGGUAAAGGCCUACCAAGGCGACGAUCUGUAGCGGGUCUGAGAGGAUGAUCCGCCACACUGGAACUGAGACACGGUCCAGACUCCUACGGGAGGCAGCAGUGGGGAAUUUUGGACAAUGGGGGCAACCCUGAUCCAGCCAUGCCGCGUGAGUGAAGAAGGCCUUCGGGUUGUAAAGCUCUUUCGGCCGGGAAGAAAUCGCAUAGGCUAAUACCCUGUGUGGAUGACGGUACCGGAAUAAGAAGCACCGGCUAACUACGU
rnacentral:rRNA from 1 species